rnacentral:rRNA from 1 species
GAUGAACGCUGACAGAAUGCUUAACACAUGCAAGUCCACUUGAACUUCGGUUUGGGUGGCGGACGGGUGAGUAACGCGUAAAGAACUUGCCUCACAGAUAGGGACAACAUUUGGAAACGAAUGCUAAUACCUGAUAUUAUGAUUAUAUGGCAUCGUAUAAUUAUGAAAGCUAUAUGCGCUGUGAGAGAGCUUUGCGUCCCAUUAGCUAGUUGGAGAGGUAACGGCUCACCAAGGCGAUGAUGGGUAGCCGGCCUGAGAGGGUGAUCGGCCACAAGGGGACUGAGACACGGCCCUUACGCCUACGGGAGGCAGCAGUGGGGAAUAUUGGACAAUGGACCAAGAGUCUGAUCCAGCAAUUCUGUGUGCACGAUGAAGUUUUUCGGAAUGUAAAGUGCUUUCAGUUGGGAAGAAAAAAAUGACGGUACCAACAGAAGAAGUGACGGCUAAAUACGUG